GUCCCUGUAGUGGAAUGGAUAGCACUUUGGACUCCUAAUCCAAAGGUUGUGAAAUCGAAUCUUACCUGGGAUU